AGGUGAAAAAGGCAAACGUUCUGAAAGGAACGGGCGCAAAGCCACGGGUCUAAAGCCUUAAAAGGCCAUGAUAGCCGGGUUGCCCCA
rnacentral:ncRNA from 1 species